rnacentral:rRNA from 1 species
GACGAACGCUGGCGGCGUGCUUAACACAUGCCAGUCGAACGGAAAGGCCCUGCUUGCCGGGUGCUCGAGUGGCGAACGGGUGAGUAACACGUGGGUGAUCUGCCCCUUACUUUGGGAUAAGCCUGGGAAACUGGGUCUAAUACUGGAUAGGACCAUGCUGUAGGUGGUGUGGUGGAAAGAUUAGUUUCGGUAAGGGAUGAGCUCGCGGCCUAUCAGCUUGUUGGUGGGGUAAUGGCCUACCAAGGCGUCGACGGGUAGCCGGCCUGAGAGGGUGGACGGCCACAUUGGGACUGGGAUACGGCCCAGACUCCUACGGGAGGCAGCAGUGGGGAAUAUUGCACAAUGGGCGCAAGCCGGAUGCAGCGACGCCGCGUGGGGGAUGACGGCCUUCGGGUUGUAAACUCCUUUCAGCCAUGACGAAGCCCUUGUGGUGACGGUAGUGGGAGAAGAAGCACCGGCUAACUACGUG